CCCCUUACCUUUACCUGAAGACUUUGAAUGGUUAUAUGCUCUGCCUCUGUGGUUGGAAGCAGUAAUCCUCCUGAAUAGCAGUUGCUGGAGCCUCCAGGAGGGACUCUUGUUCCCAGGCCCUGCUUAGGGGUUUCCCACACACAUAAUGUUUAAAAAAUGUUUUUGGUUUCACCUGCAGGUAAUAGGAGAGAGAUCAAGAUGGAGAAUUCCCACCAAGGGGAAGCUGUGCCAGAGGGAAUAUCCCUGAGGGACGUUCCAGUUUCAUGUUAAGAACGGACCUACGGAACGAAUUAAGUUCGUAAUCGGGGGUACCACUGUAUCUGUAUCAAAUUUUCAUUCGGCCAGACGUCUGUACGCUGUCAGUUAUCUCUGGUGGCUGGUCAGGUCUAGUAUAGAUCAAGUGCAGAAUACACUUACAGUCAUACCUCGUGUUACAGACGCUUCAGGUUGCGUUUUUCCAGGUUAUGGACCACCGAAUUCUGGGGUUUGGCGGUUGCACAUGUGCAGAAGCGCCAAAUCGCAACCCGCGCAUGCGCUGCUCUGGGUUGCGGACGCUGCGGGUUGCGAACGUGCGUCCUGAACGGAUCACGUUCACAACCCGAGCGUCCAUUGUAUUUCAAAACGGAUGCUUUUGUUAGAUGGCUAGUUUUUAGUUUCAUUCUCGCCAGUUUAACAGCAUAGCCAUUACAACAGUUAAAACAAUUAAAACAAUAAGAUCAGGAAGUUCAAGCUCAGAGGAAUUCUUGCUUGAACAGGAGCCGGCGGAAUGCCAAUACAGUGGUAUCUCGGGUUACAUACGCUUCAGGUUACCGACUCCGCUAACCCAGAAAUAGUACCUCGGGUUAAGAACUUUGCUUCAGGAUGAGAACAGAAAUUAUGCUCCAGUGGCGCGGCAGCAGCAGGAGGCCCCAUUAGCUAAAGUGGUGCUUCAGAUUAAGAACAGUUUCAGGUUAAGAACGGACCUCUGGAACGAAUUAAGGACUUAACCCGAGGUACCACAGUACUGAUGAGGCCUCUCGUAUUUGAGUAGGGAGGGCAUUCCUCAAUAGGUAAAGAAACCCACCUCUGUGUUACUGCUAACUAACCGGAUUCUGUUAGCUGGCCAUAGUGCCCUCACUGGGCAAUGGAGGGGAAGACAGUUUUUCGGGUAACCUGGUCCAGCAGAACCCCACAUUUUGUAGUCAAAAGUGGCAGAUAUCACUGGUUUGUUUGCUUGUUUGUUUCCCCCGAAGGACUUCUCGCCCCCAAACCUGACCUUGUUUCCUGGCUGGAAGAAGUAGAAGAACCAUUUGUGCCGAUCUCAGAGGAAGGGAAGCAAUGGGCAGGGACCUGCUUAGGUGUGUGGUGACAACCUUUUCAGAUGCCAAAUUAUAUCAUUUAGUUGCUAGAAUUGAUGGUUUGAUGAUUUACUUUAUUUCUGCGUUCCAAAAUCUUAAUUGCUGUAUUUUUCCGUUUGUGAGACACCCCCAUAUAUAAGACGCCACUCGCCGCCAGCAACUGCCAUUCGACUGCCCCCUCGGCACGGCGCCAGCCUAACAACAGCAGCCCUUGCCGCAUGCACCAAUCAACAUCCCUACUGCCGCUGACAAUCUCCUGCUCGCAGCAACAACCAGUCGCCAGUCCACCCUCGGCACUAUCCGUGUAUAAGACGCCCCCAAAUUGUUGACAUUAUUUUUUUAGGGAAAAAACCUAGUCUUAUACAUGGAAAAAUACGGUAAUUUCAAUUAUACUCCAGUCAUAAUAACAAUCCCUUAUACAACAACUGAAAUAUUAACGACU